CAGGGGCUGGGGGCCCUACAGCACCCCCGCCUCCCUCAGCCUUCUGCAGCAUGUCCAGGGCCUCCCAGAAGAAGUCCUUCUGUGCAGCCAUCAGGGGCAUCCACCCUACGAUCUCCUUCAUCUUCUCCAUGCGGUCCUGCAACGUGUGGCAACUGUGGAUCUGGCUGAGCUUGACGAAGGAGGCACUCCCCUUGGGCCAGCCUGGGAGGCGGCCCCCAGCCCCACAGCCGCAGCCCAGCAGCUCCUUGCUGAACUCUGAGCUCUGGCUCAGCACCAGAGAGUGGUUGAGGCCACACCACAGGGUGAUGGGCCGCUGCAGCCCACCCAUCUGUGCCAGUCCAGCCUCUCAUCUUGCCUGCCAGCCUCGGGGAGACUUGCUCCUUGUGCAACUUCAGAUGGAGUCUCGCUGUGUUGCCCAAGCUAGACUUCAGUGGCAUGAUCUCAGCU